rnacentral:lncRNA from 1 species
GAUAGCUUGGAUGGGAAGGCAUCGAGAGCUUAGGUUUUUAGGAGGCAUCCUUAUCCUAUAAAUAUAGGUAUUUCCUCCCUUGUAUUCAUAUUUGAUGUUGAGUAAUUUUAUGUUGUCAAGUUUUGGUCAUACUACUCACCUUCAGAUCAAGACUAGAGCAAUCCAAGUUAUCUCUCUAGUCAACUUCCUCUUAGAGUUGGCUUAACCUCUCUUUGAGCCAUCAAACACCACACCACCAUCAUUUAACCACAUAUAUAAGGUCCUUACCC